rnacentral:rRNA from 1 species
UGGGGAAUAUUGCGCAAUGGGCGAAAGCCUGACGCAGCGACGCCGCGUGGGUGAUGAAGGCCUUCGGGUCGUAAAGCCCUUUCGAGGGGAAAGAAAAAGCUGAGUUCAAAUAGGGCUCAGCCCUGACGGUACCCCUAGAAGAAGCACCGGCUAACUCCGUGCCAGCAGCCGCGGUAAUACGGAGGGUGCGAGCGUUGUUCGGAAUCACUGGGCGUAAAGCGCGUGUAGGCGGCUCGAUAAGUCUGGUGUGAAAGCCCGGGGCUCACCCCCCGGAAGUGCACUGGAUACUGUUGAGCUCGAGUCCCGGAGAGGAGAGUGGAAUUCCUGGUGUAGCGGUGAAAUGCGUAGAUAUCAGGAGGAACACCGGUGGCGAAGGCGGCUCUCUGGACGGUGACUGACGCUGAGACGCGAAAGCGUGGGGAGCAAACAGGAUUAGAUACCCAGGUAGUCCCUGAGCGGGCUGGCAAGGCGCAU